GCCGCACCUCGCCUCAUGGCGGUGAUCUCCCCUCAGGGCAACGGGGCGCGCGCGGCGGAGGUUUCUGGAAGGCGGCGGGGGAGGGCGGCGGAGCCUUCCCUUCCCCUCAAGGGAAGCUUCCCCUACCCCCCAGGCAGCCUCGGGCCAGAGGUUUCCACUCCUCGGGUUGCGUGGAAAGCGGCCUUCACGCCGCUCCUCGCUGCCUUUGAGUGUACCAAAGCCAUUGCUGAGGCAAAGGUCUCUGGUUCUCCAUAAAGAGAAAAGGAAAAACAUCUGUCGGUUUGGUAACGUCUCUGGGAGGUGCUGUUACUGUUCCAGAAGGCCAUUGGGACGGUAAGAUUUCCUGCAGGUUCCGACAUCGCAGCAUAAUGUCACUUGGAGUGACAUCCAUGGUGCAGCCAUCAGUGGUCUUCAGCUUUCGUCAAGGGAGGGAAGAAGAGCCAUGCUUCUUAUUUCCAUGACCACAAGUUGAAACAGGCCGUGGUGUCUUUGCAGCAGCCCCGCCGUCUGCCCAGCUCUGGUGAGAAUUGUAUAUGCUUGCAAGUGACAAGUCUUCUCAAAAGCCAAGUAGCCCUUUCACCUCUGUUCCUCGGGGAGAAGAAGUGGACAAGAGAGUAUUUUGUGGUAUUUUUACUGGCCAGACUGAAACUGAAGAGGUAUUAGAGGUAAUCUCAUGAGAAAGUUUGACCUUGCAAGAUUUCCGAUUGGUUUCUGGAGCCAAAAGAUUCAGAUACAUUUGGAUAGACUUUGAACAAACAUCCAAACUUCUGCAUGCUUGUCUGAACUGAAGAUCCAAAUGUUUUGAUACGCCCUCCUUCCUCUCCUUGACGAACACACGUGUACAUUGUGUGUGUAUUUGCAUGUGUUCUUUGUGAAACCUGGGAAAAUACAUGUACAUUUAGGCUCUUGUCAGAGGGGUUUCUGGGCUGAAGUGCUAAUUCAUUACUGGAAAUAAAAGUUGAUAUAAAACAUAAGUGCUAAGUGCUCCAGAAAGUACAUUAUGAAAAAUAGUUGAGCUAUAUGCAGUCUUCAGUCUCAUUAGGAAGUGAGAAAGAGAUGGCAUGGAAAAAAUUAACUUGUCAACAUAGCCAUUUAUAAUUUUCAAAGAGCACAAUGUGAACAUGAGAUGUUGCACUGACCAUUCAA